UUAAUGGAUCUUUAGAAUUAACAUCUACGAUUGAUUUGCUCUGCUGGGAAGGGAGGUUAUAGAAUUAAUAUCUACGAUUGAUUGCUCUGCUGGGAAGGGAGGUUCUGAUCCACUGCAAUUUAUGCUACAGGUUAGAGCUCUUUGUGAGAAGGCAAAGGAGAUUCUGAUGGAGGAAAGCAAUGUUCAGCCUGUAAAGAGUCAUGUUACUAUAUGCGGUGAUAUUCAUGGACAAUUUCAUGAUCUUGCUGAACUCUUCCGAAUUGGUGGAAAGUGUCCAGAUAUGAACUACUUGUUUAUGGGAGAUUAUGUUGACCGUGGUUACUACUCUGUCAAAACUG